rnacentral:rRNA from 1 species
AGUUCCUACGGGAGGCAGCAGUGAGGAAUAUUGGUCAAUGGGCGGGAGCCUGAACCAGCCAAGUCGCGUGAGGGAAGACGGUCCUAUGGAUUGUAAACCUCUUUUGCCGGGGAGCAAGGGCGGGGACGUGUCCCGGCCCGGAGAGUACCCGGAGAAAAAGCAUCGGCUAAUUCCGUGCCAGCAGCCGCGGUAAUACGGAGGAUGCGAGCGUUAUCCGGAUUUAUUGGGUUUAAAGGGUGCGUAGGCGGGCUUUU